rnacentral:lncRNA from 1 species
UUUCUGCUCUAUUCCAUCCCCGCUCAUCUGUGAAAAAUGGUGGCAGCAAACACUUCCUUAUGAGAAUGUGGUGAAAAUGGAUUAUGUGGUUGGUGCAUUUGGAAUCCCGAAAAGGAAAUGGGCUGCAAAUCCAGAUCUCAUCACAGGGAGACCAGAGAGACAGGGGCAGCAUGGUGAAUAUUAAACAGCGAAAGUGAUCAGAAGGUAAAAGUCAUUGCCCGGUGGUCUUCAAAAAUGGCCGGGUUCCACGGAAAUAGGCAUCCUCAUUGUCACACCUCAGCAGCCACGGCAAUUCUGGAACAUGCCUGGAGACCAUGCGAACUGUAUUUCCUCAAAAGGAGCCAGACUUUGUCAUGAGAAGGAGCAAAGAAUGUUGUCCUAACUCCCAAAGCUGGGUCUUUGCAUAUCAGGGGCCAAGCAUGGUGGCAUCUGAUCAUCAAGUUUGCUUAUCUAAAUCAUGGACUGUAAAAGGAGAAUCAUACCUGUCAGGUACCUCCAUGUCACAACUCUUGGUCUUAUCUCUGAGAUGCACUGAGCUUCUGGUCUUUUGGCCCAAUCUCCCCCAGCUCUUGAUGCGCCAAGUCUUUCCUGUGGGAGCUGGAGAAGAAAAGGACUGUAAAAGGAUCUUACUUUGAAAGUUACUGCGGUGGUCCAGGUAUGAUAUGGCACUGCCCUCAUUCAUGACCUCAUCCAAGGCCAUAGCCAAAGAGGAACCAAACAGGUUCACAACAGGCCAAACAAAGCUUCACAACAGCCAUUGGAGGGUCCUUUGCACCAAUCUCCCAAGUCAAGCCUCGAGCUCUGCCAUUCACAUACUGGGUAACCCUGGGUAAGCCCCCUCACAAACUUGGCCUGGGCCUCCUCAUUUUAAAAAUAGGAUGGAGGUAAUAAUGGUGGUGGGGGGGAGGGGGGGGAAUGGAGGAUUGUUUUUUCUUUUCACGUGUUUGUUUUGUUUGCCUUGUGUUUUGAUCUGGGCCUGGGGGGAGGAUGGGACCAGAUUAGAUUUCCUCAACUGAUUAUCCAGCCACAGGAUUCUAAGGCCUUACAUCACAGCAUUUUUCUCAUGGGAAUGCUGUAAGACCCAGAGACCACUGUAUAAUCUAUACUUCAACUGAUUUGUAAACAUAACCUGAAAAAUGUGCAGCAAAUAGGCCCAAGGGAAGAAAGCAACUCCUUAAACUCCAACCGCUGAUGAUCUUCACCAGUGGACCAAUGAGGGCAUGCUUUGGUUCUACGCAUAGUUAACAAAAGCUGUUACCUAUAGACAUGAGCACUUAUUUCUUCCUAAUAACUGGAGCCCCAGUAGCUGGUCUAAUGUAACUUCACAGACCAAAAAAGCCAACAAAUCGAUCCCUAAUUGAGUACACCAGCAGGUGGCCCACCCUGUCAGCUGCACCCUACAAUCCAGCAGCUGUAACAAUGGCCAACCAAGCUUGGCACUCAGGUCGCAGCCCAAAGCUCACAGACUGUCAAAACAUUCUAAAGAAAUAAAGAGGAAUGAACGUAAACUGAUGUUCA